AAACCAAGCAUCAGGCAUUUUCUAAUUAAUUCCUUGGAUCGCUCCCAAUCUUCAUAUUAUGUCUCAUCUCCAGGUUACCAAAAAGAUGUAAUAUCAUUCCUUAAUUU
rnacentral:snoRNA from 1 species